GACUUCGUACACGGAGUUUCGGGGUCCCAAAGGGGCUCUUGGUGAGUGAAAAAGCCUGUGCUCUGAGAAAGCGCUGAUGACAAGAAUAUGCCACAGCCUACCAGAUGGCUUCAUCCAGAAGAUGGU